UCAUGUUGCGCGACGAGAACUCGAAGUGCGCCGGCUCUGCGGGGACAACCUUCACCGCUUAUUACCGGACUGAUAUAUUUAAGCGACGCUAAAUACAUAAAAUAUAUAUCUUAGACAUCUAUCGUUCUGAUCUGCACUGUCAUCUAUAGAUGUGGACAUUACGGAAUACAUAAUUAUGUAAUAUCCCCACUAUGGUACUAUACCGUAAUGUAUGCGCUACCUUUGACGGCGAGUGAAGCGGUGUGGUUGACCUCAGCGGCUGAGUUGCUCGCCACGCACGUGUACUCGCCGCUGUGCUUCGACGUCACGUGCGAGAAGAUCAGGAAACUGAACUCGUCCAGUGACUUCUCUUGGACCUUCCAUGAAGAUACGAACUACAUUCAGUAUUCAAAGGUCAAUAAAAUCUUAGAGUCUGACACUCUGAUUUAAACAAUGGAAGUUAUCGGAUAGUCCUUUUCAGUUCUUGUUGAACCUUGACACACCGAAAAAACAUUCGAGCAUUCUAACAGUUCCUUAAGUUUGACUGGGAGAGAAUACUUUUAGAAGAAUUUGUAUGAUUUUUUGCAAGCUUCUUAUAAUUAUACGAAGUAAGAUAUGAAGAGAAGAAGUAAUGUAUCAUCAUUCCUUUUUAUCCUUAAUACUAUGUUGAAAAGGGAACGUUAAACACUAAUAAAAUGGCCCAACAAAAAUGCCAGCACUAAUCUAUUUUCCGUGAACAUCUUCCGUAAUCUCCUUCCGCGACGUACGAAGCAAUAAACCGAAGGAGGAACACCGCUGCCCGUUCCUCGCCCUCCCUAAGUCGCCUCUUACGACACCCACGGGAAAGGAAGAGCUGGCCUAUUCUAGCCCGGGACUGAUACGGCGAAUUCAUGUCAUAAUAAGCGUUAAAUUGAUAUUUGUUAAGGAGAUUAUUUAUAAUAUUUUAGAGAAAUGUAUAUUGCUUACAUUUAUAUUUUUGUAUGUAAGUACUAUAAAACUAAGUAUAAAGAACUCUUUUAGAAUUAAGUACUCUUUAAGCUUGCCUUUGUACAUAUGCUUA